UACCUUUCGCCAUCUGGUAAUCUCUGGAG
rnacentral:piRNA from 1 species